ensembl:snRNA U6 U6 spliceosomal RNA
AUGCUUGCUUCGGCAGCACAUACGCUAAAAUUGAAAUGAUACAGAGAAGAUUAGCUUGGCCCCUGUGCAAGGAUGACUUGCAGAUUUUUGAAGCAUUCUAUAUUUUU